CGAUCCUUACGUUCCUUUCUCCCUCUCUCUUGCAUGCUCUCUGCUAGGCCGGAACGACGGCGGCAGGGCUCGGGGAAUGGUGGUCGAUGACGGCAGGGGGGUCGGGGCUGGGCUGUUCGGUGGCAGGGGGCUCGGGGCUGGGCUCGACAGCAACGACUGGUGGCUCGGGGCUGGGCUCAACAACAACGAUUGGUGGCUGGGGGCUGGGCUUGACGGCGGGUGGGGGUUCUCGGGUCUGGGCUCGACGGCGCAGGGGCUGGGCAGAGGGCUGGGCAGAGGGCUAGGCUCUCCUAUCUCUCUAUGAACACAAACCCAUUUCAGCUCAAGAUAUAUUCCAUUUUCAAGGGAAAGUUUUUGGUGAAAAUAGCUUCUCUCUCAGAUGCUCUAUCUCUCUCAUAUCAGGAUGCUGUGGACGUCCAUGACAGUUUAGCUGCUGAAGCUGAACAUGGUGAUGCUUCCUGAAAGGAAAGGUCCUCAGUUCAAGGUGUAGAACAGGUCUAUAUUGAGAUGCAUUUCUUUGGCGUGAUACUAGACAACAUUGACUGUUGAAGUUUUUAGAAUAAAAAAUAUAUUUCACUAACAUUGUAUACAUUUUUUGUUUAAUAUUUGGUGAUAAUAUAAUUUGAUUGUAGUAUAAACUGUCAUGUAAUAUGAUUUUGUAAGUCGAGUAGACUAAAUACUGAAAUGAUAUUUUUGAGUAAUCAAUAAAUUAUUUUGUUGCA